rnacentral:tRNA from 1 species
GCCUGGGUGGCUCAGUCAGUUGAGCGUCUGACUUCAGCUCAGUUCAUGAUCAGGUUUGUGAGUUCGAGCCCCGCGUCGGGUU